GAUGAAGAACGCAGCGAAAUGCGAUAAGUAAUGUGAAUUGCAGAAUUCAGUGAAUCAUCGAAUCUUUGAACGCACAUUGCGCCCGCCAGUAUUCUGGCGGGCAUGCCUGUUCGAGCGUCAUUUCAACCAUCAAGCCCCCCGGCUUGUGUUGGGGACCUGCGGCUGCCGCAGGCCCUGAAAAGCAGUGGCGGGCUCGCUGUCACACCGAGCGUAGUAGAUCUCAUCUCGUUCAGGGCGUGCUGCGGGUUCCGGCCGUUAAACCACCUUCAUAACCCAAGGUUGACCUCGGAUCAGGUAGGAAGACCCGCUGAACUUAAGCAUAUCAAUAAGCGGAGGA
rnacentral:misc_RNA from 1 species